GCCUGGGUAGCUCAGUCAGUUGAGAGUCUGACUUUGGCUCAGAUUAUGAUCUCAUAGUUCAUGGGUUCGAGCCCCGCACCGGGCU
rnacentral:tRNA from 1 species